rnacentral:rRNA from 1 species
GACGAACGCUGGCGGCGUGCCUAAUACAUGCAAGUAGAACGCUGAAGGAGGAGCUUGCUUCUCUGGAUGAGUUGCGAACGGGUGAGUAACGCGUAGGUAACCUGCCUGGUAGCGGGGGAUAACUAUUGGAAACGAUAGCUAAUACCGCAUAAUAGCAGUUGUUGCAUGAUAACUGUUUGAAAGGUGCAAUUGCACCACUACCAGAUGGACCUGCGUUGUAUUAGCUAGUUGGUGGGGUAACGGCUCACCAAGGCGACGAUACAUAGCCGACCUGAGAGGGUGAUCGGCCACACUGGGACUGAGACACGGCCCAGACUCCUACGGGAGGCAGCAGUAGGGAAUCUUCGGCAAUGGACGGAAGUCUGACCGAGCAACGCCGCGUGAGUGAAGAAGGUUUUCGGAUCGUAAAGCUCUGUUGUAAGAGAAGAACGAGUGUGAGAGUGGAAAGUUCACACUGUGACGUUAUCUUAACAGAAAGGGACGGCUAACUACGUG